GUGCUCAACAGGAAAUCUGGUGUCUGAUUUUCAGUCGAGCUGAAAGCCAUGAAACUCAUUCUGCGGUGGAUUUUUUGCUUCAGUUUAGGUUUUGUCGCUGAUUGCCAAGUGAAUCGUUAUGGAUUGAAAGGAAGCUCAAUCCGUCUGAGCAUCAGUCCCAGAAAUCAGUCACUAACUAAUGUUGGGUGGCAACGAUUCAACAGGAAAGAGAUGCUCACAGACGCAAAAGAAGUUUCCCCUCAUUUUGAGAAAAGAAUGAGCCUAAACGUCUCAGACAUGUCUUUGACCAUACACAACCUUGAGGAAAAUGACAGUGGACUGUAUGAAGUCAUUAAGAAGUGGGGGGUUGAACCUCUGGCUACAUUCACACUUACAGUGGAGAGCACUGUCUCUAAGCCUGUAAUCAGAGUGAACCAAUAUGACACUAAUUCGUCUGCUGAAGUGUGUCGGGCCGCAGUGAACUGUUCAGCUGAUGGCAGCUGGGCCACGUUUGACUGCCACCAAAAUAUCUGUACAAAGAUACGAUCCUCUCCAUUCUCCAUUAACAUCACUGUCACUGCACUGGACAGCAGCGGCAUCGAAUGCAACGUCAACAACAACGUGCUCAACAGGAAAUCUGGUGUCUUAUUUUCAGUCGAGCUGAAAGCCAUGAAACUCAUUCUGCGGUGGAUUUUUUGCUUCAGUUUAGGUUUUGUCACUGAUUGCCAAGUGAAUCGUUAUGGAUUGAAAGGAAGCUCAAUCCGUCUNUGACCUAGCCUUCCUUGCCAUGUCCUGGACUUCCACAGUGGCUCUGUGAAGUCAAACUGACUUUAGUCACAGCUUCACCUGCUCUCUCAUGGGAUCACUAAAGGUGUGNGCAACAACGUGAGCAUAAAUCAUUCUAAAGCUCCCAUUACGU
rnacentral:lncRNA from 12 species